CCUACGGGAGACAGCAGUGGGGGAUAUUGCACAAUGGGGGAAACCCUGAUGCAGCGACGCCGCGUGGGUGAAGAAGCGCCUCGGCGCGUAAAGCCCUGUCAGCAGGGAAGAAAAUGACGGUACCUGAAGAAGAAGCCCCCGCGAAGUCAGUGCCAGCAGCCGCGGUAAUUCGGAGGGGGCAAGCGUUCUCCGGGUUUAAUGGGUGGAAAGGGGGCGCAGACGGCGAUGCAAGCCAGGAGUGAAAGGCCGGGGCCCAACCCCGGGACUGCGCUGGGAACUGGGUGGCUGGAGUGCAGGAGGGGCAGGCGGAAUUCCUGGUGUAGCGGUGAAAUGCGUAGAUAUCAGGAGGAACACCGGUGGCGAAGGCGGCCUGCUGGACUGCAACUGACGUUGAGGCCCGAAAGCGUGGGGAGCAAACAGGAUUAGAUACCCCGGUAGUC
rnacentral:rRNA from 1 species